rnacentral:rRNA from 1 species
UACGUAGGUGACAAGCGUUGUCCGGAUUUACUGGGCGUAAAGAGCGCGCAGGCGGUCGAUCAAGUCGAGUGUGAAAGCCCCCGGCUCAACUGGGGAGGGUCAUUCGAUACUGAUCGACUCGAAGGCAGGAGAGGCUCGCGGAAUUCCCAGUGUAGAGGUGAAAUUCGUAGAUAUUGGGAAGAACACCGGUGGCGAAGGCGGCGAGCUGGCCUGUACCUGACGCUGAGGCGCGACAGCGUGGGGAGCAAACAGG